rnacentral:lncRNA from 1 species
AAAUGCAUAUAAAUCUACAUAAGAUUUAAGUUUAUUCUGCUGCAUGACUCACGAAAAUGAGAUACAUGUCAUCAGAAAACUUUUGAGAAAAAGAAGAUAUCUUGAUUUCCUAAAAAAGAAGACUGAUUAAAAUGGGAGAUUAAGUGAAAGCAAUAUGUUAUUGCAUAAAGAUAGAAUGCUCAAGGAGCAAUAUUAUGUCCAAGUAUACCAUCAUUGAUUUAAGAUGGUACAGCCGAGUUGAGGAGGCUCCUACCAAUGAAAGGUCUAGGGAGAAUCAAUACAUAUAAUUUUAUACAAGGUUUCAUAUCUUGGGUACUGGUACUGACAUAUCCAAUCUAUAUGCAGUAUAUAUGAUGGUACCAAGGGAUGCGGAGAAGUAAGCACAGGUGGAAAGGAGGAGGACAAUGACAAGAAGUACCAAAAGGUCUGGCAAUGAUGGGCAGGCCUGCAGCAUAGGUAGGCAGACACGAGUUGUGAGUGCCGGCAAAGACACUACAACCCUAAGCUUAAGGUACACAGACAAGAAGUAAAUCACACCUGUAGAUACCAACCAACACAUAGGGGCUCCAGAGAACAGACAAACUUUGCUUUUGUACUUAAUGUAGAGAGACAGUUUCCAUGAAUUAAGCUGGCCAAGAUCAGUAGGCAAAUCAAAGGUUUUUGAGCUUUGAAAGAUGAGCAAAUGGAGGAAAAGAAUUAAGCAAAGCUCAUGGAGCAACAAGGAAUCCUAUGGCAUGUGUGUGGCAAACAUAGGAUCAAUGUGACAUAUAUGUGGAACCAGUGAUUUAGAAAGCACUAGGUGCCAGAAGGUGCCAAGGUCCAAAAACGCUUGAGGCGCUAGGCGCUCGCCCGGGCGCUUGCUCGAGUGAAACGAGGCGCUAGGCGCUCGCCCGGGCGCUUGCUCGAGUGAAACGAGGCGCUAAAAUAUUAAAAUAUAUAAU